GGUGAACGCUAGCGGUAGGCUUAACACAUGCAAGUCGAGGGGCAGCACAAUGUAGCUUUCUAUCUGCGUGGCGACCGGCGCACGGGUGCGUAACGCGUAUGCAACUUUCCCUAUACAGGAGGAUAACCCGUCGAAAGACGGACUAAUACUGCGUAUGCUCACAACUUUGCAUCCAGUGGUGAUGAAAGAAAUUCGGUAUAGGAUAGGCAUGCGUCCCAUUAGCUUGUUGGUGAGGUGACGGCUCACCAAGGCAACGAUGGGUAGGGGAACUGAGAGGUUGACCCACUACACUGGUACUGCGACACGGACCAGAAUGCGACGGGAGGCAGCAGUGAGGAAUAUUGGGCAAUGGGGGCGAGCCCGAACAAGCCAAGUCGCGUGAAGGAUGACUGUCUUAUGGAUUGUAAUCUUCUUUUAUACGGGAAUAACAAGAGUAAAGUGUGACUCCCUGAAUGUACCGUAUGAAUAAGCAUCGGCUAACUCCGUG
rnacentral:rRNA from 1 species